CACGUAGGGGGCAAGCGUUUGUCCGGAUUUAUUGGGCGUAAAGAGCUCGUAGGCGGCUUAGUAAGUCGGGUGUGAAACCUCCAGGCUCAACCUGGAGACGCCACCCGAUACUGCUGUGGCUAGAGUCCGGUAGGGGGAGCGUGGAAUUCCUGGUGUAGCGGUGAAAUGCGCAGAUAUCAGGAGGAACACCAGCGGCGAAGGCGGCGCUCUGGGCCGGUACUGACGCUGAGGAGCGAAAGCGUGGGGAGCAAACAGG
rnacentral:rRNA from 1 species